UCCUCCCAGUCAUUUGAUGAUUUGUCCACCUGAAGGGCUUUAUAACAUUUCUAUUUAUUUCGUUUUCAGGUUAAUCUGCACAGGCAAUAUGUUACUGUUUCCAGUCCUUCUUGCAACUUUGUUUUGGUCCUUUGGUCCAUGUGUAGACAUGCAGUCAGUGCCAGUGCAAACCCCAGUGAUGCAGAAGCAGAUGAAGGGCAUGUCUGCCAGCAUGUCAUGUCAACUGGGAGAGAAAAACAUUGUGCACUGGUACAGGCAGCUUCCCGGACAGCCGCCGAAGAGGAUACUGUACGAGACUGGAUGGACACCUGUUUUUGAGGACAACAA